GGAUUUUGGGGGCCACAGAAGUUUCACAGAAGACUUGCCUGGGACCUCUGGCUGCUCACUGCAUGGCAUGACGAUCACUGGGUUUCCAGCCUAGUGGUACCAGCUGAGGAUGGUGAGCAAGAAGAGCAGAGAAAAGGCUGAUCCCAAGCACAGUUACUUCAUUCUGCAUUACAGACUGAGUGACUUGGCUUGUACUCACGGAGUAAACCAGAGAACACUUCCUUCCAGGAUGAUGACAGCUUCCAGAGAGAAGAAUUGUUUUAUGCAUAUGCUUUGCUAUCAAAACACUGGAGCUAUAAACUUCAGCCCUCUAUUUGAUCUGAGCAUCUUGACAAUAAUGUACAAGGAGUCAGUUGGUCUCCAAGGAGUGCAGAACCAAAACAUAAUGAGUUUUAAAGCUCAAACCACAAACUUGGAAUUAGACUCCACCUGCAUUUCAUAAACAGGUUUAUGCUGUACUGGCCUAUUUUGAAAUACGACCAUGUCUCGUGUGGCUGAGCUGCCCCAGUUCUGCCUCAGGCUUUGGAUGUCUGCCUUCAUCGGUUCUUGUUUGCUGGUUCCACCUUCAUCAACUCAGGUAAAAGAAUAGCCAUUGUGUUUCUUGUGAUUUUUCCUCCUGCUCUGCAAUGAGCAUCACAGGGGCUUCUAAUAGAGGUUUUUACCAGUAGCAGUUUCUACUUUGUUUUUGGGAAAAAUAAUUGAGAAUCAAACCUUCUUCUGAAUUGGGGUUGCUUUUAUUCCAGCUAGCAGGACAUCUCUCAUUUGUAAAAAAAAUCUUCCCAUUUGUAACAAGGAAAUACUUCACAGCCUUUCAGACCUGGGCACCAUUUUCCCAGUUGCGUUAUUUUACCUAAAUUGUCCAUGAAAUGCUUGCUAAUUGCUACAAGAUUUAAAAAGGAAAGGAACAGACCGGUUCAAUAGGGUUUCCCUGAAGCAUUCCUUGCUCAGAAUGGCACAGUGGUUGAACGACAAUGCAAAAUGUGCCCUGCUAACUGAGCACCAAAUUGCUGGGAUCAUUUUCUACCUGUGAAAGAAACAAAAAUACGUAAAAGUAAUUAUGACAUUUUUCAUUGUUUUCAAUAAAUCUAAGCCUCUAAUUACCCA
rnacentral:lncRNA from 1 species